rnacentral:rRNA from 2 species
UGGGGAAUAUUGCACAAUGGAGGGAACUCUGAUGCAGCGACGCCGCGUGAGUGAUGAAGGUUUUCGGAUCGUAAAGCUCUGUCCUUGGGGAAGAUAAUGACGGUACCCAAGGAGGAAGCCCCGGCUAACUACGUGCCAGCAGCCGCGGUAAUACGUAGGGGGCGAGCGUUAUCCGGAUUUAUUGGGCGUAAAGGGUAUGUAGGCGGCUAUAUAAGUCAGGUGUUAAAUGCAAUGGCUCAACCAUUGAGUGCAUCUGAAACUGUAUAGCUUGAGUACUGGAGAGGAAAGUGGAAUUCCUAGUGUAGCGGUGAAAUGCGUAGAUAUUAGGAGGAACACCAGUGGCGAAGGCGACUUUCUGGACAGAUACUGACGCUGAGAUACGAAAGUGUGGGGAGCAAACAGG